UCAACCCCUAGCCUGGGAACUUCCAUAUGCCACAGGAGCAGCCCUAAAAAGACAAAAAUACAUACAUACAUACACACAGAUUAAAGACAUCAUAAGAAACUGAAUAAGACGGAAAAAUAUAUUCAUGUUAUAUAUGCCUAACAAAAGACUCAUAUACAGAAAGGAUAAAGCAUUCCUAGAAACAGAAGGAAGAAGAUAGAAGAACCUAUUAAAAAAUAGAAGAUUGAACAAUCAUUUCAGAAAAAUAAGUAACCCAAAAGGCCAAUAACUUAGUUAAGGGUUCAGCAUCAUUAUUCAUUAGAGAAAAACAAAUGAAAACCACAAGGAGAAAUUUCUACAUACUCAUCAAUAACUUUUUAUUUCAGAAGUUCCAUUGUGGUACAGUGGGUUAAGGAUCUGGCGUUGCUGCAACUGUGGCACAAGUCGAAACUGCAGUUUCCAUCCCUGGCCCAGGAAUUUCCACAUGCCACUGGUACGGCCAAAAAAAAAAAAAAAAAAUUUUUUUUCCCCAAAAACUGUUGAUGUCAACGGAUGGCAAGGAUGUGACGAAAGUAACUCAUAUACCGAAUCAGCUUUGGGGGGAAACUGUUAGGCAGUGUCUAUUAAAACUAAACAUACGCCUAUCCUACGACAUAAAAAUUCUGCUCAUUCACAUACGCUCAACACUUUUUCACCAAAAGACCACACGAAUGUUCACAGCAGCUUCAUUCAUAAUAACCAAAACCCAAAAUGCCUACCAAUGGUAGAAUGGAUAAAUCAAUUGUUGCAUAGUCAUGCAAUAGACUACUAUGCAGCAGUAAACAAACUUGACAUAUGCAAUACCAUGCAUGAUGUUGGGUCAAAAAAAUCAGACAGAAAAAGCACAUUGCUUGACUGCAAUCAUAUGAAGUUUAAGAACAGACGAAAUUAAUACAUAGUAAUAGAUGUCCGAAUAGUAAUUACCUCUGGGGUGUUAAGUAUUGACUGGGAAGGAACAGGUCAAGGAAACCUAGGGUGAUGAAAACACCUAUGUCUUGAUCUGGGAGCUGAUUACAUGUCUAAAAGUUCACUAGGCUGUCCUCUUAAGAUCUGUGCACUUUAUUAUGUGACAGUUAUACCUCAAUUAGACAAAAAGGAAGAAAGAUGAGGAAUGAGGGAGACAAGAAAGAAAAUGAAGGACAGAACAAAAAGGAGGAAGGGAGAGAGGGAGGGAGGAACACGAAAGAGAAACUAACAUGAUGGGAGGGUGCUCUUUAAAAAUAUGCUAUGGGACAUGUACUGUUAUCUACAUCUUAAAGAUGGGACCACUCCGAGGUUUGCUGAUGUGUUCAUUUUCAGAGUGGUUGUGUGACCUGAGCAGAGGCUGGAACCCAGGUGUGUACGACGCCAAAGCCUUUGUUUUUCCACCUAGCACAAGUCACCACCUCCUAGAAAGAUGCCCUGAGAAAUCCCUCCCAGAAUUUAUCAUUUCUUCCUGGGAAGGAUGUCUAUCUUAUCACCUCCAGCCUUAGUUGAGCGUGGACCUUUCUGUCUCCCACCCACAAUUGUGAGCCAGCUCCCAGAGGCUGGUGACGCGUCCAUUCAUUUUUUACUUCUUCCAGGGCUCAGCACCAGCUAAAUUAACUUCUGCUCUAUCGGGACAAGGACACCAUUGGAAACUCUAUUGCGGGUCUGCUCUUUGAACAUGUCCUUUGAUUUCCCAAGCCUGCAGGUUGCGGCUGGCACUUCUUUCCGAAGAGGAAACCGGUUAGAGGAGUGUAGCGAUGAGUUCUGCCCAAGUGAAGCCUGGCCGCCCCGUGUUACACAGAAACUCAGAUUCUGCGAGUGUUCGGAGCAGCUGCUGACGACCUGCCCCGCCCAGGCUGAGCGGAAGCAGGCCGGUUUUGGUGAAAGUUACUGAAUAAGCACAAAGUGUGAUGAACGGAAAAUCCCACCAUGCUUAAAAAGGUAGUAUGGAGCCUGAAGGAAGUUACGAGGGUGUCAGAAAAGCCGCCUGCUGGAGUCUGGGACUGGCUGUCCACGCUCUACUAAAGGAAGAAAGGUGGAAGACUCGGAUCUCGUCGUGUGCGAUUCUCCCGAGUGGUGGUGCUGCUUGGUCCUCAUACUUCCUGUGCUAAGAACAGUUCCAGGUUCACAGCAAAAUUGAGCAGAAGGUAUAGAGAUCUCCCAUAUACCUCCUGUCCGGCGGCCCCACGAAAUCUCACCCCGUUAUCAGCAUCGCCACCAGGGUGGUGCACUUGUUACAGCUGAUGAAGCUACAGGACCACAUUAAUCACCUGAAGUCCAUCAUCAGCAUCAGAGUUAAUUCUUGGAAUUGUACAUCUUAUGGGUUUGGACAAGUCUGUAAUAGCAUGUAUCUGCCAUUAUAGUACCAUCCAGACGAGUGUCACUGCCCUAAAAUCCUCUGUGUUCCAUUUAUUCACCCCAAUCCUGACAGCCAGUGAUCUUUUUACUAUCUCCAUAGUUUUGCCUUUUCCAGAAUGCUAUAUAGUUGGACUCGUACAGUAGGUGGCCUUUUCAAAUUGGCUCUUUUACUUAGCAACAUGCAUUUAAGUUUCCUCCACGUCUCUUCAUGAUUUGAUGGCUGAAUAACAUUCCGCUGUCUAAACGCACCACACUUUAUCCUUUCACCUGCUAAAAAGUGUUUGCUUCCAAGUCUGGGGUUAUGAAUAAAGCUGCUGUAAACACUCAUGUAAAGGCUUUGUGUGUGACAUAAAUUUUCAACUCAUUUGGGUAGAUACCAAGGAGGGCGAUUGCUGGAUCAUAGAGUAAGAGUAUGUUCAGUUUCUUAAACCGCCAAACUGUCUUCCAGCGGGACUGUGCACUUUCCCACCAGCGAGGAGUGAGAGUCCCUGCUUCACCACACCCUCGCCCGCGUUUGCUGUGGUCAUUGUUUUGGAUUUUGGCUAUUCUAAUAGGUGUGCAGUUGUAUCUCUUUUUUUUGGGUUUGGUUUGGUUUUUUGCUUUUUAGGGCUACACCUGUGACACAUGGAAGUACCCAG